rnacentral:rRNA from 1 species
GACGAACGCUGGCGGCGUGCUUAACACAUGCAAGUCGAACGGAAAGGCCCUCCUUUUGUGGGGUGCUCGAGUGGCGACAGGGUGAGUAACACGUGCGUAACCUGCCCUUGACUUCGGGACACGUGCAGGAAACUGGGGCUAAUCGCGGAUAGGAGCCAGUGCUGCAUGGUGGGGGUUGGAAAGUUUCGGCGGUUGGGGAUGGACGCGCGGGUUAUCAGCUUGUUGGUGGGGUAGUGGCUUACCAAGGCUUUGACGGGUAGCCGGCCUGAGAGGGUGACCGGACACAUUGGGACUGAGAUACCGCCCAGACUCCGCCGGGAGGCAGCAGCGGGGAAUAUUGCACAAUGGGCGGAAGCCUGAUGCAGUAACGCCGCGUGCGGGAUGACGGCCUUCGGGUUGUAAACCGCUUGCGCCUGUGACGAAGCGUGAGUGACGGUAAUGGGUGAAGAAGCACCGGCUAACUACGUG